GUGAGGAAUAUUGGUCAAUGGGCGAGAGCCUGAACCAGCCAAGUCGCGUGAAGGAAGAAGGAUCUAUGGUUCGUAAACUUCUUUUGCAGGGGAAUAAAGUGCGGGACGUGUCCUGUUUUGUAUGUACCCUGAGAAUAAGGAUCGGCUAACUCCGUGCCAGCAGCCGCGGUAAUACGGAGGAUCCGAGCGUUAUCCGGAUUUAUUGGGUUUAAAGGGUGCGUAGGUGGUUUGAUAAGUCGUCGGUGAAAGUUUGCAGCUUAACUUUAAAAAUGCCGUGGAAACUGUCGGACUUGAGUGUAAAUGAGGUAGGCGGAAUGCGUGGUGUAGCGGUGAAAUGCAUAGAUAUCACGCAGAACUCCGAUUGCGAAGGCAGCUUACUAAGCUACAACUGACACUGAAGCACGAAAGCGUGGGGAUCAAACAGGAUUAGAAACCCUAGUAGUCC
rnacentral:rRNA from 1 species